UGGGGGAUAUUGCACAAUGGGCGAAAGCCUGAUGCAGCGACGCCGCGUGGGGGAUGAAGGCUUUCGGGUUGUAAACCUCUUUCGCUAUCGAACAAGGCCCGCUUAGGGUGGGUUGAGGGUAGGUGGAGAAGAAGCGCCGGCUAACUACGUGCCAGCAGCCGCGGUAAUACGUAGGGCGCGAGCGUUGUCCGGAAUUAUUGGGCGUAAAGGGCUUGUAGGCGGCUUGUUGCGCCUGCUGUGAAAACGCGGGGCUUAACUUCGAGAGUGCAGUGGGUACGGGCAGGCUUGAGUGUGGUAGGGGUGACUGGAAUUCCAGGUGUAGCGGUGGAAUGCGCAGAUAUCUGGAGGAACACCGAUGGCGAAGGCAGGUCACUGGGCCAUUACUGACGCUGAGGAGCGAAAGCAUGGGUAGCGAACAGG
rnacentral:rRNA from 1 species